GGACUGGGAUGGUGCUGGGUUAAACUCGUUUGUACUGGGAAUGGACUGGGAAUGGACUGGGAUAAACUGGGAUCAAACUGGGAGGGACUGGGAAUGGACUGGGAUAGACUGGGAGGCACUGGGGUCAAACUGGGAGGGACUGGGAUAAACUGGGAGAGACUGGGAGGGACUGGGAAGGGUUUAAGGGGGGGAGUUUCAGGUUACUGGUUUGUACUGGUUUGUACUGGUUUGUACUGGUUUGCACUGGGCCCCUCCCCCCCUGUCCCCCCAGGGUCUCUUCCCGAGGGCUCCCGGCUGCUGCCCGAGGGGACCCUGCCAGACUGGCUGUUCGUGGUGCUGGUGGCGCUGGGGGCGGGGCUGGUGGCGCUGGGGGCGGGGCUGUGCUGGUGCCAGUGCUGCCCCCACACCUGCUGCUGUUACCUGCGCUGCCCCUGCUGCCCGCGCACCUGCUGCUGCCCCGAGGCG
rnacentral:lncRNA from 1 species